AGUCUGACGGAGCAACGCCGCGUGAGUGAUGAAGGUUUUCGGAUCGUAAAGCUCUGUUGUUAGGGAAGAACAAGUACCGUUCGAAUAGGGCGGUACCUUGACGGUACCUAACCAGAAAGCCACGGCUAACUACGUGCCAGCAGCCGCGGUAAUACGUAGGUGGCAAGCGUUGUCCGGAAUUAUUGGGCGUAAAGGGCUCGCAGGCGGUUUCUUAAGUCUGAUGUGAAAGCCCCCGGCUCAACCGGGGAGGGUCAUUGGAAACUGGGGAACUUGAGUGCAGAAGAGGAGAGUGGAAUUCCACGUGUAGCGGUGAAAUGCGUAGAGAUGUGGAGGAACACCAGUGGCGAAGGCGACUCUCUGGUCUGUAACUGACGCUGAGGAGCGAAAGCGUGGGGAGCGAACAGGAUUAGAUACCCUGGUAGUCCACGCCGUAAACGAUGAGUGCUAAGUGUUAGGGGGUUUCCGCCCCUUAGUGCUGCAGCUAACGCAUUAAGCACUCCGCCUGG
rnacentral:rRNA from 1 species